rnacentral:rRNA from 1 species
GACGGAGGGUGCUAGCGUUGUUCGGAAUCACUGGGCGUAAAGGGCGCGUAGGCGGCGCGGGGAGUCAACGGUGAAAGCUCGGCGCUCAACGCCGAGUCGGCCGUCGAUACUCCCGUGCUCGAGCACUGUAGAGGCAGGUGGAAUUCCGGGUGUAGCGGUGGAAUGCGUAGAGAUCCGGAAGAACACCGGUGGCGAAGGCGGCCUGCUGGGCAGUAGCUGACGCUGAGGCGCGACAGCGUGGGGAGCAAACAGG